CUGUGAGGAGGGAGGGAGAGCAGACAUCUGUGAGGAGGGAGGGAGAGCAGAGGUCUGUGAGGAGGGAGGGAGAGCAGAGAUCUGUGAGGAGGGAGGGAGAGCAGAGGUCUGUGAGGAGGGAGGGAGGGCAGACAUCUGUGAGGAGGGAGGGAGGGCAGACAUUUGUGAGGAGGGAGAGCAGAGAUCUGGGAAGAGCUAAACCAUGGCCACAUGGAGCUCGAGGUGCCCCUGCCAUACCCAGGUUUGCCAACUGUUGAACAAGAAACAGAAAGGACGGGACAGCACAAAGGAAUCAUGGGGAAUGACGAGCACCUGAGGGGUCUCUGUGCUGACGCUUCUGUCAUCUUCUCUCACUGAGUGUCCCUGCCACUGCGCCAGCUCAGGAUGCAGUGCAACCAGCGAGACCAAGUUCAACUAGGAGGAGCGCAGCUGCCUCUGUCCCAGCCCCAGCAUCACAGGUACCCAAAGGAAACAAAAACCCUUAGGUAUCUAAUGACAAGAGGAAUGGAGAGAAAGAAUUUGGUUUAUAUGGAAUUUUUUUGCGGCCAUAAAGGCAAAAUUAUGUCAUUUGCAAGAAAAUGGAUGCCGCUAGAAAUAGUCAUAUUAAGUAAAUUAAGUCAGUCUCAGAAAGACAAAUUUCAGUUUUCUCUUUUUGUGCUUCCUAGAUUUCAUGGAGAUAUAAAAUGAUGUAUAUAUGUAUACAUCACAUGAAGUAAAAUUGUCCAGGGAAAGAAAGGGACUAACGGGUGAAAGGGGACAGUGGAGACAUGGGGGAGGUUAGUACUCUAAGUAUAAUACUUGUAUGAAAAUUCCUCCAUGUGACAGGACAAUAUAUGGUGGAAAUACACAAUAAAAUCUUCUUUUAAUUUGCUUUAUGUUACGACUAUAAGUGCACAGCCCAACAAUAAAUUCUUCAGUUACAGCAUCAUGAGCUCUGCUGAUCUCUCUCCUCAGGUAUUACUAGGAACAGAGCGGUGGUAUUGGUCACGGGCCCUGCAACUCAUACCUGGAGAAUAUGGGCCUGUUUAGAGGGCUCCGUUCAGUCCCGGGGCAACUGGUAUCAAACACAGAGGAAAGCCUUCCAACUGAAGAGACCGGAAAGAAAUUGCAUUUAACUAAACAACUCCACACAGCAAUUCAGUGUGCAGUGCCACCUUGAUUGACAGGAGCAUUUGCAAUUAUUUUAAAAAUGAAAAAGAAAACCUCAUCAGAUGCAGCAGAAUCGUUGAUAGGACACUGACUUCAGCUGAUUUAUGAAGUAUGACCAUGCAGCGUUCAUAUGAAACAACUAUACUCCCAGCAUGUAAAUGAGCCCUAAGUGGGAGAGGGCACUUUCAAGGCUGACUGGAAGGGACCCCGAGGAGGCUCCUGGCUGUAGAGGAAAGCUGGCGAUAGAGAAACAGCAGGGUCAACAGGACAGCAAAAUCCCCUGAAAGCCACUUGAGGCUGGGAAGGGUGGGGCUCCGGGUUUCUUUACACAAGCAGACUGCCAUGGUUUCCAAAGAGAAGACCACGAUGUUACAAGGAAGGGAGUAAACAGACUAUGUCCACCAUGGCUCGUGCCCUUGGAACAAGCUCUGAACUUGUGAGCUGGUUUGCUGACUUGGAAUGAAAGGCUACCAUAUGCCUGCCUGUCUCCCAAGACUGCUGAGAGAAGGGAGCUGGAUGCUGGGUGUAGGAUUACCAGCAAGUGGGAAGGCACUUUAGACCCAAGAGACUGUGUGGCUAUGGUCACCAAGGAACGGCUGGGACUUGUCACCCAAGGACAGCCAGCAGCUUCUUAGGAAUAACUGCAGGUACAUACACGGUUUGAGAAAAGGAACCAGCUACUCUACAGUGAAAUGUUGAGGUAAGAAGACAGCUCCAUGAAACUGUUCACCAAGCAGACCAGAGGCUCACAUGAGAGGUCUGCCAGGCACAACCACAGUAAGACUGAAACAUCACAUCAGGCCGCCUCUUGUUCAACCCCAGUUCAAAACCAACCCUGUGCAGACAAAGGCCUCUGACGAGCGAGAAGAGAGCAAGCCAAGCAGAGAGGAGGCAUAUCCGCCAUCUUCCUAAGGAUGAGUAGU